GCAGUAGGGAAUCUUCCGCAAUGGACGAAAGUCUGACGGAGCAACGCCGCGUGAGUGAUGAAGGUUUUCGGAUCGUAAAGCUCUGUUGUUAGGGAAGAACAAGUACCGUUCGAAUAGGGCGGUACCUUGACGGUACCUAACCAGAAAGCCACGGCUAACUACGUGCCAGCAGCCGCGGUAAUACGUAGGUGGCAAGCGUUGUCCGGAAUUAUUGGGCGUAAAGGGCUCGCAGGCGGUUUCUUAAGUCUGAUGUGAAAGCCCCCGGCUCAACCGGGGAGGGUCAUUGGAAACUGGGGAACUUGAGUGCAGAAGAGGAGAGUGGAAUUCCACGUGUAGCGGUGAAAUGCGUAGAGAUGUGGAGGAACACCAGUGGCGAAGGCGACUCUCUGGUCUGUAACUGACGCUGAGGAGCGAAAGCGUGGGGAGCGAACAGGAUUAGAUACCCCC
rnacentral:rRNA from 1 species